rnacentral:rRNA from 1 species
GGUGGGGGAUGACGUCAAAUCAUCAUGCCCCUUAUGACCUGGGCUACAAACGUGAUACAAUGGCUGGAACAAAGGGAUGCGAAGCAGUGAUGUGGAGCGAAACCCAUAAAAACAGUCUCAGUUCGGAUUGAAGUCUGCAACUCGACUUCAUGGAGUCGGAAUCGCUAGUAAUCGCGGAUCAGAACGCCGCGGUGAAUACGUUCUCGGGGUU